rnacentral:rRNA from 1 species
AGGACGAACGCUGGCGGCGUGCCUAACACAUGCAAGUCGAACGGGGGUAGCAAUACCCUAGUGGCGAACGGGUGCGUAACACGUGAAGAACUUGUCCAUCGGCGGGGGAUAGCCGGCCCAACGGCCGGGUAAUACCGCGUACGCUUGUCGAGUGGCAUCACUUGACAAGGAAAGCAGCAAUGCACCGAUGGAGAGCUUCGCGGCCUAUCAGCUUGUUGGCGGGGUAAUGGCCCACCAAGGCAACGACGGGUAGCUGGUCUGAGAGGAUGAUCAGCCGCAUUGGGACUGAGACACGGCCCAGACUCCUACGGGAGGCAGCAGUGGGGAAUAUUGCGCAAUGGGCGAAAGCCUGACGCAGCGACGCCGCGUGUGGGAUGACGGCCUUCGGGUUGUAACCACUGUCGCGAGGGACGAAAAAAUGACGGUACCUCGAAAGGAAGCACUGGCUAACUCUGCGCCAGCAGCCGC